CUCGGCGAGGGCGGCCUGCUGGACGGCCGCGCCGAUCCAGGUGGCGGCGAUGUCGUUCUGCCCGGUGUCGCCGAGG
rnacentral:tRNA from 1 species